CAAGAUCUUGCUGAAGGCUGUUGGCAGAGGAGGGAAUUGUUGGUGUGGAGCAAAGAAUGAGGAGAUACCUUCUGAGCAGAACAUUUCUGUAAGAGAGUCACAGGAUAACACAGAAUGGCCAGCACUGCUGAGGGGAAUCUUAACCCCAGUUCUCCUCCAAAGGAGCCAUAUACCCUGAUACCCGGAAUUCUGUAGGCUAGUGUCAUAGUUGUAAGAUUGCAGGGGCAGGGGAGACCAUAAUUGGUACAGAAACGCUGGUAACUAGAGAGUGGAGGAGAUGGCAGAAAGCUAGGUGGAAUGUACCGCUUCUGAAGAUACAUCCACAAAUGUUCUAAUGACAAUGACUGCAGGAUGAGUGUGUCCAGAAAUCUCAGGACCUCCAGGUAUGUUUAUGUUGUGAAGUCACUGGCAAACAAAAUAAGGAUUUAGGGGUAUUCCUCUAGCCUUUCUGAGCUGUUCACCUCAAGGCCAUUGCUAAUCAGGCAACAGAAGAAGGACGGUGAGAUACUGGUCCGGGCAUGUCAUUGUUGUGACCCAGCCAGCAGUCCUGUUGACUCACUUGGAAAUGGCCUUCACUGUUUGCCAGUAUUUCCUGCCCCUGAGGAGAGGCUGCACCUCAAGGCAUGAGGAAUGAGAUAGUUGAGUGAUGUUUUUUAGAAUGGGGCAUUUAGAUUUUCGUUAUGAACCAUCUUUUAAAACCUGCAUGAUGGUAUAAUGGGCAUAGAAUAAGUUGCACAUAUUUAAAGUGUACAGUUUGAUAAGUUUUCAUGUGUAUAUGCUUGUGAAACCAUGAUUGUUAUCGUAAUAAUGAGCAUAUCUGUCACCUGCAUAUUUUCCUUAUGCCUAUUUAUAGUCUCCUUGCUCACCCUGGCCGUACAGGCAACCAUUUAUUUACAUUCCUUUACAAUAGAUCACAUUUUCUAGAAUUUUAUGAUUGGUCAUAAAGUGUUUACCUUUUUUUUUUCUGGCUUCAUUGAUGCUACGUAAUUACUUUGAGAGUCAUUAAUUGUGCUUACAUGAAAUUCUUAUUUCUCAGUAGCUUUCUCUUGCAUGUAUAAUUGACUGUGUUCAUCCAUUCAUCUGUUUACGGAUAUUUGGGUUAUUUCCAGUGUUUAGCUUUUGUAAAUGGAAGCUGAUAUGAACAUUGGUUUACAAUUACAUGGAUAUGUUUCAUUUUUCUUGUAUUAAUAACUCAGUGUAGUACCUGAGUCAUGCAGUAGGUGAAUAUUAUAACUUUUUAAGAAAUUGCCAAACUGUGGUCUAAAAUGGUUGUGUUUUUUUGCAUUCCCACCAGCAGUGUGUGAGACUUCCAGUUCCUUCACACCACUGUCAAUACCUGGUAAGGUCACUUUUUAAUUUUACCCUUUUAAAAUAACUGUGUAGAAGUAAUCCACUGGUUUUAAUUGCAUUUCCCUAAGGAUUUACAACAUUGAGCAUCACUUCAUGUGUUUGCCUCCUGUAUAUCUUCUUUAGUAAAAUGUCUGUUCUUAUAUUUGUCCUAUUUUCUAUUUUGUGAAUUUGGCUAUUUGCCUUUUAUUUACAAUAAGACAAACAACAAAGACAUGUUGGAAUUUUAUUCAUUCUUCAAUGAUGUGAGUGACUUCUUUGCUACAUGGUAAAUUGUUUUUGAAUACUGGAAGAAUAUACAUUUUUUUUUUGGUGGAAUGCACAGUGUGUGGACACCUAUACAAAAUAUUUAAGUUUCAUCAGUAUUAUUAACAUAUUCUCCAUCACUUUCUAAGUGUAGACAUUCAGUAUAUUGCAUUCAAUAAUACUGUAAAUCAAGCCUUGGUUUGUAGUGUUUGCCAAUUUCUUUGGUGUAAAUACCAUGAACAGUUUCAGACUACCAACCUGAUGUCACUGAACAGAGUUGGGAAGAGUUGGCAGUAGCACACCAUUCUAAACAUAGAGAAAUGAUUUAGAGAGUGAUGACUUUUGAAUAUUUGUAACUUAAAACAGUUUGAUAUGUAAUUGACUUAUCAUAUAUUAAAAAUGUCAGUUUUGAUGCAUAAAAUUUCCUUGAGCCCUUUUUAAGUUUGUUCUUUUCAACUUGUAAGAUUUCUGAUACAGGAUGUGUUCUACUGUUUGUAAUUGCUAUUUUCAAAUAUAUACAAAAGUGGAAAAGACUGUCUUAUGGACGCUCAAUCUUCCAUCAUUGUUUAUAGUCGUUCUUGUUUCAUCUUUUAUGCACAUUAAUGGGUUCUUUUACUUAAAACCCAGAGAUUGUGUCAGUUAAUGCAUAGUUUCUUGAGAAUGCUUUUCUAAAAUGUAAGAGUUUUUCCAUAAUGACAAUAACUUUCUCACACAAAAUAAAAAUAUUUUAAAAUGUGAUAUGUUAUCAGUGCUGGAUUUUAUCAGUUUUCUCAAAAAUAUAUUUGUU